rnacentral:rRNA from 1 species
GGGUUGUGAGGUUAAGCGAACAAGCGUACACGGUGGAUGCCCUGGCAGUCAGAGGCGAUGAAGGACGUGCUAAUCUGCGAAAAGCGCCGGUAAGGUGAUAUGAACCGUUAUAACCGGCGAUGUCCGAAUGGGGAAACCCGGUGCACUUCGGUGCAUCAUCGUUAGCUGAAUACAUAGGCUAACGAGGCGAACCGGGGGAACUGAAACAUCUAAGUACCCCGAGGAAAAGAAAUCAACCGAGAUUCCCCCAGUAGCGGCGAGCGAACGGGGAACAGCCCAGAGCCUGAAUCAGCUUGUGUGUCAGUGGAACGGUCUGGAAAGGCCGGCGAUACAGGGUGACAGCCCCGUACACGAAGGCACACAGGCUGUGAGCUCGAUGAGUAGGGCGGGACACGUGAUAUCCUGUCUGAAGAUGGGGGGACCAUCCUCCAAGGCUAAAUACUCCUGACUGACCGAUAGUGAACCAGUACCGUGAGGGAAAGGCGAAAAGAACCCCGGCGAGGGGAGUGAAACAGAACCUGAAACCGUGUACGUACAAGCAGUGGGAGCCUUCGUAAGAGGGUGACUGCGUACCUUUUGUAUAAUGGGUCAGCGACUUAUAUUCUGUAGCAAGGUUAACCGUAUAGGGGAGCCGAAGGGAAACCGAGUCUUAAUUGGGCGUUAAGUUGCAGGGUAUAGACCCGAAACCCGGUGAUCUAGCCAUGGGCAGGUUGAAGGUUGGGUAACACUAACUGGAGGACCGAACCGACUAAUGUUGAAAAAUUAGCGGAUGACCUGUGGCUGGGGGUGAAAGGCCAAUCAAACCGGGAGAUAGCUGGUUCUCCCCGAAAGCUAUUUAGGUAGCGCCUCGUGAAUUCAUCUCCGGGGGUAGAGCACUGUUUCGGCUAGGGGGCCAUCCCGGCUUACCAACCCGAUGCAAACUGCGAAUACCGGAGAAUGUUAUCACGGGAGACACACGGCGGGUGCUAACGUCCGUCGUGAAGAGGGAAACAACCCAGACCGCCAGCUAAGGUCCCAAAGUCAUGGUUAAGUGGGAAACGAUGUGGGAAGGCCCAGACAGCCAGGAUGUUGGCUUAGAAGCAGCCAUCAUUUAAAGAAAGCGUAAUAGCUCACUGGUCGAGUCGGCCUGCGCGGAAGAUGUAACGGGGCUAAACCAUGCACCGAAGCUGCGGCAGCGACACGUAUGUGUUGUUGGGUAGGGGAGCGUUCUGUAAGCCUGUGAAGGUGUGCUGUGAGGCAUGCUGGAGGUAUCAGAAGUGCGAAUGCUGACAUAAGUAACGAUAAAGCGGGUGAAAAGCCCGCUCGCCGGAAGACCAAGGGUUCCUGUCCAACGUUAAUCGGGGCAGGGUGAGUCGACCCCUAAGGCGAGGCCGAAAGGCGUAGUCGAUGGGAAACAGGUUAAUAUUCCUGUACUUGGUGUUACUGCGAAGGGGGGACGGAGAAGGCUAUGUCAGCCGGGCGACGGUUGUCCCGGUUUAAGCGUGUAGGCUGACUUUCCAGGCAAAUCCGGAAGGUUAAGGCUGAGGCGUGAUGACGAGGCACCACGGUGCUGAAGUGACAAAUGCCCUGCUUCCAGGAAAAGCCUCUAAGCAUCAGGUAACAUCAAAUCGUACCCCAAACCGACACAGGUGGUCAGGUAGAGAAUACCAAGGCGCUUGAGAGAACUCGGGUGAAGGAACUAGGCAAAAUGGUGCCGUAACUUCGGGAGAAGGCACGCUGACAUGUAGGUGAAGCCCCUGCGGGUGGAGCUGAAGUCAGUCGAAGAUACCAGCUGGCUGCAACUGUUUAUUAAAAACACAGCACUGUGCAAACACGAAAGUGGACGUAUACGGUGUGACGCCUGCCCGGUGCCGGAAGGUUAAUUGAUGGGGUUAUCGCAAGAGAAGCUCCUGAUCGAAGCCCCGGUAAACGGCGGCCGUAACUAUAACGGUCCUAAGGUAGCGAAAUUCCUUGUCGGGUAAGUUCCGACCUGCACGAAUGGCGUAAUGAUGGCCAGGCUGUCUCCACCCGAGACUCAGUGAAAUUGAACUCGCUGUGAAGAUGCAGUGUACCCGCGGCAAGACGGAAAGACCCCGUGAACCUUUACUACAGCUUGACACUGAACAUUGAGCCUUGAUGUGUAGGAUAGGUGGGAGGCUUUGAAGCGUGGACGCCAGUCUGCGUGGAGCCAACCUUGAAAUACCACCCUUUAAUGUUUGAUGUUCUAACCUGGCGCCGUGAUCCGGCGUGGGGACAGUGUCUGGUGGGUAGUUUGACUGGGGCGGUCUCCUCCCAAAGUGUAACGGAGGAGCACGAAGGUCAGCUAAUCCUGGUCGGACAUCAGGAGGUUAGUGCAAUGGCAUAAGCUGGCUUGACUGCGAGAGUGACGGCUCGAGCAGGUGCGAAAGCAGGUCAUAGUGAUCCGGUGGUUCUGUAUGGAAGGGCCAUCGCUCAACGGAUAAAAGGUACUCCGGGGAUAACAGGCUGAUACCGCCCAAGAGUUCAUAUCGACGGCGGUGUUUGGCACCUCGAUGUCGGCUCAUCACAUCCUGGGGCUGAAGUAGGUCCCAAGGGUAUGGCUGUUCGCCAUUUAAAGUGGUACGCGAGCUGGGUUUAGAACGUCGUGAGACAGUUCGGUCCCUAUCUGCCGUGGGCGCUGGAGAAUUGAGGGGGGCUGCUCCCAGUACGAGAGGACCGGAGUGGACGCAUCACUGGUGUUCGGGUUGUCAUGCCAAUGGCACUGCCCGGUAGCUAAAUGCGGAAGAGAUAAGUGCUGAAAGCAUCUAAGCACGAAACUUGCCCCGAGAUGAGUUCUCCCUGAGACUUUAAGUCUCCUGAAGGAACGUUGAAGACGACGACGUUGAUAGGCCGGGUGUGUAAGCGCAGCGAUGCGUUGAGCUAACCGGUACUAAUGAACCGUGAGGCUUAACCUUACAACGCCAAAGAAGU